UAGGGUUGGAGUCCGAGCAGAAACGACUUCGUCACUACGCCUGGUAGCGUUAGUCUAGCCCUAGCCCUAAUCCUAACCCUAAUUUCUGUUUCUUCUUCUCUCUAUAGAAUGGUGGAUAUGCAAUUUGGGGUUGUGGAUUGUUGGAUGAUCAAUGGAGGGAGGGGUUGGAAGAGAGAAGAUGAAGGCGACUGUGAGUUCCUGAAUUUGAAAUUCUCAGUGGAUUGGGGUUCCGCUUUGUUAUUGUUCUGGAAUUGAGCUGAUUUCGGCGCUUCAUGCAAUUGGAUUUGGUUUUAAGACUCUGAGCGGAAGGGUGACUAUGGCGGACUGUAUUUUGUUUGCAAGAACAGAUAUCAGUGGCUGCAGAGGAAUGGUUAUGCUGUUACAGAUACAUGAAAUGCAAAAGAAUUAUCUCUGGAAUCAGGGAGGUGGUUUUUCUUUCUGAACUUUUUGAGACAGCAUCUCUACUUUUGUUGUUUCUGUAAUGUUACAUUUUUUACUUUAAAGGUUUAUCCUUUCUUCUCUUCUAAAUUGACUCAAUUCCGUAUGUGGCCAAAGGUGUUGAGGCCACCUGACUGCCUUUACACCUUUGCGUGAUAUGUAGCCCAAGGUGUCAAAACCACCUCUCUGUCUUUACACCGUAACUUCCAUGGGGCCAUACAAUAUUCUGGUUCAUUCUUUUACAUUGAAAAGACACAGGAAAUAAGAUAUCAUGUUUGAUCUGAUGAACACUCUGUAGAUUGGGUGGGCUCUGCAUGAGUGAGGGAGCACCUUUUUUUAUUUUCCCUUUGUCAGGCUAUACCUUUUGUUUAUCCCUUUGUAUACAUCCUGUGUACCUUGCUGUAUAGCUCCUUUCACUAAUACACAGAUAUCUUAUCUUUGCUUAUCGAAAUUCUGAUGGAAACUCUGCAUUUGUUAUUAUUCCUUUCCUGUUCUUUUCUUUGAAAAAUGAUUGGCUAGCAAGAUCAUAAGUUUCUUAUUCUGAAAGAUGUGGUGAUUUACAUUUUCAUCCCAAGUGUUAUGAUUUUCAAUCUCCAAUUUCACAUAAGCUUGUUACCCCAAAACUUGCAGCUUCAUAGUCUUUUCAUUUGUUUUUGUCUCUCAGUAUUUUUUAGCUUCAUCUACUCUCAAAUGUGUGUAAAGCCUUUAUUUUUUGCAUCUGAUUGUUAUUUAUUUUUGUUUUUCCCUGACAAAUAUUUUGAUCAAACGUAAAUUCUGUAAGCAACACAUACAAUCAAAUCUCUGCUCUGGUAGUGGGAUCGGGUGUUAAUUUUUUAUGUCUGAAGCUUUUUGUUUUCUUGUUAAUUAAUUGAGACAAUUCUUGAUUCAAUUUUGAUGGAUAGCCAACCACAAAGGCAACUCCUAAAUCCUGUUGAGAAGUUUGCCAUCAGUUCACAAGAGUCAACAUGGAAGCAUAGUCCAUGAAGUGGAGCAGUUUGAGCAUGCUGAUAAACUAACCUCAUGGUUUUUUUGGAAAGUAAAGACAUAUAUUACUCGAUUUCUUGAAAAUAUAAGGUGCUCUUCCUUUUCACAUGAAAAACUUAGUGUGCUCAUGAAGUAACAGGCUCUUCUUUAUCUUGGGUUUCAAUGGCACGCCAAGUCUACCCAGAUAGUA